rnacentral:misc_RNA from 1 species
GAUGAAGAACGCAGCAAAAUGCGAUAAGUAAUGUGAAUUGCAGAAUUCAGUGAAUCAUCGAAUCUUUGAACGCACAUUGCGCCCGCCAGUAUUCUGGCGGGCAUGCCUGUUCGAGCGUCAUUUCAACCCUCAAGCUCAGCUUGGUGUUGGGACUCGCGGUAACCCGCGUUCCCCAAAUCGAUUGGCGGUCACGUCGAGCUUCCAUAGCGUAGUAAUCAUACACCUCGUUACUGGUAAUCGUCGCGGCCACGCCGUAAAACCCCAACUCCUGAAUGUUGACCUCGGAUCAGGUAGGAAUACCCGCUGAACUUAAGCAUAUCAAUAAGCGGAGGA